rnacentral:miRNA from 1 species
AGUCAAAUUUAAAUUUCAGAUAAAGAGUAAUUUUAGUGCAAGUAUAUCUCAAAUACUACAUGAGACAUACUUAUACUAAAAAUAUACUUAUUCUUGGGAGUUGGGCAGUACC